GUAAAUUAUUCGUAUGGAUUCCAUACGAGGAAGUGAUUAGUACAUCAAUCUUAGAAGCUUAUGAUGCGGUUGUGGAAAGGACGGCUUUAACGGAUUGCUUGGAUAGAAAGUUGAGAGAAGAGGAAUUGUCGGAUAAAUUCGAAUUCUGGGGGAAAUGCUCUGAUGGUGAUCAUACCAUAGAUUCUGUAGAGGAGAAUGCCACUAUAGAAUAUGCUAGCAGUAAAGAAGGUAGUGCCUGUAAAGAGGGGGUGGAUAGUAGCUGUAAAGAAGAAGGUGGUGGCUGUGAAGAAGAAGGUAGUGGGAGUGAAGAAGAUAGUGACGAUAGUGACAAUCCUAGAUACCUGGCAUUCGGUGUGGUUGUCCUUGUAGGUG
rnacentral:misc_RNA from 1 species